CUGUGCAGUUGCAGUCAGAAUAUCACAGAGCAAAUAAUUUUCCUCUUUCAAUCAUGCUGACCCUCUUAUAGCCGGACAGACAGUUUCUGUCUCUCUCUGACUCCUCAGAGGAUUUUGAGACAGGACUAGACGGGUACACCUCCUCAAGUUCUAUUCCUGGACUCCUGCUCACCGACCAGAGGACACCUCCACAGAAUGUACCAGAAAUGAGUGAAGAGGCAGAUCUGAAAUUUCAAACUCCUUCCAAGCAGCAGAAGAAAAAGACACCUAAGAACACCAGGGCCAAAGAUGUGGAAAUAAACCGGGAGGUGGUGACCUACACAGAACUGAAAUGCCAGAAUGCUUCUGAGCGGCAGAGGAGAUGAAGGACUAUGAACCCCCAGGGCAAAGGUUCUUUUGCUCCAUCUUCUGUAUGGAGGCUCAUUAUAAUGAUUCUUAGGCUCUUCUGCCUGGCUUUGCUGAUAGCAGUGGGUUUCUUGAGUGUCAAAGGUAAAGUAUGAUCAAAGAAGGCACUAAAAGGCCAAAUAAUUCUGAGCUGACAUAGUCUUUAAUCAAUGGCGUGUGAAUUGCAUUGUGUGUGCUGCACUUCUGAAAAUCACUUCUUUAUUUAUCUAAUUAUGGAUUUAGGGAACAGGACAGGGGAACCAGCUGGGCUCCUGCACAUUCUUCUUCACCCUGCAGGAUUUUCUAGGGACAGCUGCAGCAAGAGAGUCCCUGACAUCACAACAACUGUGUAGCUGUCUUGCCCAGGAACCAAAGAUCCAUGUAGGUUCCUGGCCCUCAACGCAAAGCACAGACAUUCUGGUGGAAUCUGGGGUCUGAACCCCCAGCAUCUGCAACAUGAAGCAACCUAUGGCCAACAAUAAAAUACUUCCUAGGAAGCUUCAGGUCUUGAAACUUCUGCAAUUUUCUCUUCCUAAUGCAGUUAUUUCUUGGCUUCCUUGCAAAGAUUCCACUUACCAUUUUCUUCUUAAAUUUCUAAUUUUUUCUUUGGGUGCCUAACUUGGAAAAUGACAUAUUUAUGCUUUGUGGUAAUUUCAAACAAUCACUUUUGUGACUAAAAUGUUAGAAACCUGGAUAUUUCCAAUUGCAUUUUUCUCACCAUCUUCAUAGAGUCAGGAUUUUUAGCCAGACACAAUUUUUAUUUUUAAUUUCAAGAUGUUUAUUUUAAAAUUAAUAUUUACUUACUUAAAAAUUUCCCGAUGUGUUAAUAGUAACAUGAUAACAUACUAUUAUAAAUAUGUAUUAGAUAUACAGUAUAUUAGAUAUAUGAGAUAUAUUAUAUAUUAGAUAUACAGUAACUGAUGGCACAAUUGGGCCCAUUGUGUCCCUGAAAGGCACAGUGCAUUGAUCUGUAACACUAUGAUUACAUUUAGUUUUAAGCAGUCCAUCAUAUUGUUAUGCUAUUUUGGCUUUCAGUUUUUCAGUUCUUCUGUUCCCUUCCCUCAGAUGUAUCAUCUAGUUCACUCUCCACAUUAGUACCUGUGGAGAGCACAUGAAAAUGGUUGCUUACCUCUAUCUGCAUUGCUGGUACAUGGA